UUAAAAAUUUUGAAAAUUAAAAAAAAAUAUCAAACCACAAACAAAAUAUAUAAUGUAGCGAAACGACCUCUAAAUUUGCUAUAGUUCGUUCUAUUAGAAUAUCGGGCGUCUUAAAUUUUUUAUUUAUUUGUGGAAAUGUGUGACAUUCUUUAAACCCUACAUUUCUGCUCGGAGUAUUCGUAUGAUUAUUACUUCGUUUAUCACCAUUUAAUAAAGAAGUAUGGCGCUUUUGACUCCGUGGUUCCGUUAAAAGGUUUUAAUCCGGGUCAGUGCUUUUAUUAUUAAUAGGAACGAAAGCGAGCUGAUCCUGGAGUCCCUGCAAUCCUUCUCGAAACUCCUGAACAGUUUGCCAGGGUACAAAUUCAGUUCCUUUCAAGUUACCGGAGCAGUGAGGAUCAAGUUGCUAUUCAGUCAAGAGGAUCCACGUCUAAGGAGAUCCUUGAUCCAGUUAUUAGGAGAUCUGGCAACAUCCUUUGGCCAGGAGACCAAUUUGGAGGCAUUCAAGGAUCGAGUGAGAUCCAAGGGAACCUCAUCACUUUACUCUUGCAUCUAUGCGCUCCAGACGUGUAUAUUGUCAAGGCCUGUAAAAGUACAAUGCAGAAGGUUGGCCCUUAUCUGGAUUUUCCGGAGGUAUACCGCAUGAUCCAGGAGUGUUUGGGCGAUGACACCGACUUGAUGUUCACGGAUUUUAUUGGGGAGUUAAUUAAACGCAUGGGAUUUAUGGAAUCAAAGAUAUCAAGGUUAUUUGGGGGUCAAAUCGAGGACGAGUUGGUUUAAAGGUGGCGUCUAAGGGCCAAUCCCGCCCUUGUCAUCGGUUUGUUCUACGCCGAACUACUACCCGAGAAUAAACCGAAAGUUUCACUGGAAACUGUCUGUGAUAAACUGAACAGACUGAUGCAAGACGAGUCAGAAGAAGUUAGGAUUAAGGCAAGUCAAGCUAUAUCGUGUUUGUUUUUAUAAUUAUUGUAGAACGGAAUGUGCUAGGGGGAUAGUACGAUUAAGUCUUUUAAAUCAGUUUUUAGUAAGAAAAUUUAAAAAAAGUCAACAGGGGUCAAAACUGACUUGUGGGUGGACUUUGUAGCUUAUAAGUUUAUCUCUGUCGCACUCAUUGUAAAAAAAAACUUGAAACGUGGAAAAACUGAAAUUUCACAAAGUUUAUUAGUUUUAAAAUUUUGCAUAACUUUUUUGUUAUUAAAGAUAGAGCUUUCAUUUAAAAACUGUCAAGUACUCCAUGCAAA
rnacentral:misc_RNA from 1 species